UACGUAGGGGGCAAGCGUUGUCCGGAUUUAUUGGGCGUAAAGAGCGUGUAGGCGGUUAGGUAGGUCCGUUGUGAAAACUCGAGGCUCAACCUCGAGACGCCGAUGGAAACCAUCUGACUAGAGUCCGGAAGAGGAGAGUGGAAUUCCUGGUGUAGCGGUGAAAUGCGCAGAUAUCGGAAGGAACAUCAGUGGCGAAAGCGGCUUCCUGGUCCAGCACCGACGUUCAGGCACGAAAGCGUGGGGAGCAAACAGG
rnacentral:rRNA from 1 species